CGCCCAUGUCGCCGCCAUUGCCCGGUCGCAGAUUGGAGCACGGACCCGCCUCGCACCUCCUGCCACCCGCCGCCACUUUGCCAGGUAGGACACCCUUCUUCCAUGCUUAAGCUGAGUUGAUCUUCUCAUCUGGCGGGCUCAAGCUCCUCGUGGUCAUCCGAGCUGACCUCCUCGCCUUGAUAGGUGAGAUUCAUACUGAAAUUGCCACGCUUAUUUUUGUUUUUACCUCACUGAAGACAUAAGGAGGUUUAACCAAGAAGUCUCCGAGUUGGUUCUUGGGAGUAGUUAGCACUUACAAAUAUGUAUCUCUAAUUGAGUGCCACCGAAUAUUUUUCCAGGUACUAACCUAAUGAUCAUAUACGGUCUUGUUUUAGGAUCCCCCAGCAGAUGAACCAGAGGUACUUCCAGGAAUUCCUCUCAUAUUCGGACUGUGCUAAGCUAUUCGAAUUUGACUUUCAGGAUUACAUUCAUCAUUUUGGACGUACUGCACCUGGUGAUAAAGGAAAAGGAACUGUAUUGUUAUUCUUCAUGCCCAAACAAUUAGAGUUUCUCAUCUCCUUGAGGGCAGCCAACAUUCAUCUCACAGAGCACGAGUUUAAUAACAAGAAUGUGCCAAAUAUGCAAGCACAUUUUGAUAAAAUUGUUGGCGAUAGCUACUUUCUACAUCAGUCGGCUCAGCCAGCCUAUAGAUCCUAAAUUCUACCAUACGACUCACACGCCAUGAAAGACAUCUUUAGUGUUCAUGGUCUCAGUUUGAAGGUAAAAUGCUUCUUGAAGGUUUUUGUGGGAUCUCUGUAUUUUUAUGUUUCGCUGGUUUACAGGUCGCUGUUAUUUUGGAUAGCAUGUAGAAGCAACCUUGUCUUUUUGUUAAUAUUUCGGUGAGCAUCUCCCAGAAGUACUUGGCUGAUAGUAUUUUCAUCACCGCUAAUAUUUUUGUUUCAUGAAAAGGUUCUCCUGUUUAUCUUGUGUAAACUGACUUCACAUACCAAAUUUGUUUUUAAUGUCCAAUUCACUACGAUUUGCCAGGACGUAGGUGCAUCAUUUUACUUUAGCAACCCUCCAAAAGUGGAAAUUGACCUGGAGUGCAGAGUUAUGAGGAAAAUAUGUUAUAACAGAAUUGUUGGUUCUAGACAGAGGCGAAAGAGGCAUUGCAUCACUGCUGCAAAUCCUUAAUUAUAACAGGUAGUUUGCAAGAUUAGAGAGGGCCAGAUUCUUUCGGUUGUUUGUUAUGACACAAAUACAAAAGCUGAAAUGAUUUAGUAUAUGGACCAAAUCAAGGACAUAGUUCAGCGGAUGGGAUAAAGCCAUACAAAGUUACAUAUACAAGUAAUUGUUUCCAAUCUUUCUAUGAGCAUGAACCUGAGUUAAUAUCGAAAGUGCUCGCCUAUGUGAUUACCAUCUUUUUUCCUCAUCUCCUUUCUUUAACAGGUUACAAUUGUAAAUUUGGAAAGGAAAUUGAUAUUUUUAACUCUUGUUCCAAAACAGGUGGCCUUGAAUUUGGUAAAACUUGCAUGCCUGUCCCUAUUUAUUUUGAAAUUUUGGGCAAACUCUGUAUGGUUUUCUGUUGGACAACAUCGGCGAGAAGGCAAGAUGCUAAAGUAUUUAAGGUUUGCGCCUUGCCUCCUUUUGAGUUAGGUGGAAAUUAGUUCAUGGACCAAUUCUUUCUUUUGAUGUUUUAUUAUUGUUUUUCUAUUAUAGCCGAGGAACUAGCAUAUUUUUUACAGGAUUGAUCGAUUUGUUGAUUUGUUUGUUUUAUUUUGUUCCUGUAGUUGUAGUCUCACUAGUAGA